rnacentral:rRNA from 1 species
GAUGAACGCUAGCGGCAGGCUUAAUACAUGCAAGUUGAGGGGCAGCAUGAUAUACGCGAGUAUAUUGAUGGCGACCGGCGGACGGGUGAGUAAUAGGUAGGAGACCUACCUCAUACAGGGGGAUAGCAUAGAGAAAUCUGUGGUAAUACCCCAUGAGGUUAUAUGAAUAGAGGCAUAUAAUCAAAGCAUAAGCGAUUAUGCGGUAUGAGAGGGGCCUACUGACCAUUAGCUAGUUGGUGAGGUAAGGGCUCACCAAGGCGAAGAUGGUUAGGGGUUUUGAGAGAGAGACCCCCCACAUUGGAACUGAGAGACGGUCCAGACUCCUACGGGAGGCAGCAGUAGGGAAUAUUGGGCAAUGGGCGAAAGCCUGACCCAGCCAUGCCGCGUGAAGGAAGACGGCCUUAUGGGUUGUAAACUUCUUUACUACGCGAAUAGAGGUUAGUACGAGAUACUAAUAGGAAGGUAGUGUAGUAAAAAGCACCGGCUAACUCCGU